UUUCCGUAGGUGAACCUGCGGAAGGAUCAUUACUGAGUGAGGGCCCCUCAGGGUCCAACCUCCCACCCGUGUUUAACGAACCUUGUUGCUUCGGCGGGCCCGCCUCACGGCCGCCGGGGGGCAUCUGCCCCCGGGCCCGCGCCCGCCGAAGCCACCUGUGAACGCUGUCUGAAGUAUGCAGUCUGAGACAAUUAUUAAAUUAAUUAAAACUUUCAACAACGGAUCUCUUGGUUCCG
rnacentral:misc_RNA from 1 species